AGAGUUUGAUCAUGGCUCAGGACGAACGCNGGCGGCGUGCUUAACACAUGCAAGUCUACGAGAACGAGGUAGCAAUAUCUUUAGUAAAGUGGCGUACGGGUGCGUAACACGUAAGCAAUCUACCUUUGGGUCUGGAAUAACUUCGAGAAAUCGAGGCUAAUACCGGAUAAUGCAGCGGCACCGCAUGGUGAUGUUGUUAAAGUUUAUGUAAUGCCUAUAGAUGAGCUUGCGUCUGAUUAGCUAGUUGGUGAGGUAACGGCCCACCAAGGCUACGAUCAGCAGCUGGUCUGAGAGGAUGAUCAGCCACACUGGAACUGAGACACGGUCCAGACUCCUACGGGAGGCAGCAGUGAGGAAUAUUGGGCAAUGCCCGCAAGGGUGACCCAGCAACGCCGCGUGGAGGAUGAAGGUCGUAAGAUCGUAAACUCCUGUUAGAGGGGAAGAACACCACCGAUUGGAUCGGUGUUUGACUGUACCCUCAGAGAAAGCCCCGGCUAACUACGUGCCAGCAGCCGCGGUAAUACGUAGGGGGCAAGCGUUGUCCGGAUUUACUGGGUGUAAAGGGCGCGCAGGCGGGAUAGCAAGUCAGAGGUGAAAUCCUACAGCUUAACUGUAGAACUGCCUCUGAUACUGUUAUUCUUGAGUUCGGGAGAGAGAGACGGAAUUCCAGGUGUAGUGGUGAAAUACGUAGAUAUCUGGAAGAACACCAGUUGCGAAGGCGGUCUCUUGGUCCGAUACUGACGCUGAGGCGCGAAAGCGUGGGGAGCAAACAGGAUUAGAUACCCCGGUAGU
rnacentral:rRNA from 1 species